rnacentral:rRNA from 1 species
UACGAAGGGGGCUAGCGUUGCUCGGAAUUACUGGGCGUAAAGCGCACGUAGGCGGCUUCUUAAGUCGGUGGUGAAAUCCUGGAGCUCAACUCCAGAACUGCCUUCGAUACUGGGAGCUCGGAGUCCGGGAGAGGUGAGUGGAACUGCGAGUGUAGAGGUGAAAUUCGUAGAUAUUCGACAAGAACACCAGUGGCGAAGGCGGCUCACUGGCCCGGUACUGACGCUGAGGUGCGAAAGCGUGGGGAGCAAACAGG